CCGCCACUCUUUGGGAUAGCGAGAAAGUUGCUAAAAUACGAAUACAGCAUCGAGUGCUGGAGCAGAUCUAGUGCAUGUGUAAAUAUGUAUGAAUUACUUAGAUGUAACAGUUUGUUCUCGUUAAGUUUUUUCAUCAACGUGACUUUUUUCUGUAUGUUUUCACAGCCUCAGCCCCCCCCCCCCACACACACACAAACAAAGCGGCGUUAGGCUGAAACGCUGAAAGUCCGGAUUUAAAGUGCAGAAAAUUAAGCCAUUGAAUCUGCCUGUCCAUGACGUACAAAGACACACUAUGAGCCAGUAUGAUCCGACCAGACCUUACAUCAGCAUUGAGGAGUUGUCGGAGAAGAAAGAGGCUGAUUGAAGCGGGACAGAUGACAUGGAUCCAUCCUUCCACAGCCAGGAGCGCACCGACCUGUGUCCCACACUUCAUAUAAGACUGGAAGCUACACUGAUCUCACAGCUACACACCACAGACGUCUACACACUGGAGAAGAUUCAGACAGAGUCCCACAAAGAAGUCAUGACCCAGAGGCUGCAGAGAAACAUUUCAAGCCUCAUCUGAGUUUUUGUACAAUAUUUUUGCUGUAUGUAAAUAAAGCUUUCACUCCACA